CCGUCGGGCCGUCAAACCUCAUCUUCGCUGGUAAGCUCGUGGCUUCCUUCUCUUCCUUCUAACUCCUUUCUUGGCUUUCGUCCUUGCAGACGCCCGCUACCAAUCUAAACUAGAAGUGUAAGCAGUGAUAUGAUCUUUUUUCGUGUUCUUCCUCCGUGACCGUGUCCACUUUGCCAGGAUCCCCUAUCUAUCCUACGAUUCAGGAGGUCAGAGAAUCCAGCCAGCGAGAGGAAAUGGACCAGAGAGAGUGUGGGAGGCCAGAGCCGAGUACAUGAAACGUACGUAUAUAUCUCACCAGAGAGGAAGAAGAAAAAAGAGAGAGCACUUCGUCGUGAAAGAGAGUGAGAUGAUAGUGUGAGUGAUCUUCUCCUUGGUUUCUCUCAAUCUAUCUUCCUAUCUUCGUUUUGCUGCCACUUCUCGAGCGUUCUUGCCUCCACCACCCUCUCCAAAAGAGCCCAGAGAGAAAGAGGGAGAAUGAAGGCAAAGCACGGCUGCCUUCUUUCUCACUCUUUCUCCCCCUCUCGAAGCGCGCUACCUAAUGGAGCCUCAAAGCUCGCGCAGUGCCGCGCCUCAAUCCCGGGCGAUCCCGCGACUGUCCAUCCGCAUUGCUCACGCGGCGCGCUCAGCCGAGAGGAAAGCCCCCUGGAUCCUGCCCACCACCGACACAGCCCAGCUCCGGCGAUGCCGGAUUGACGCACCAAACUCGCAGAUCCGCAAUGUGGGUCGGCAAUGUAGGCCGCGGGGAUUCGUGGGCAGUGCUCCGAUGGGACGAUCGAGGCCUAGAUCGCUGUGGAUGAAUCGCUAGACCCCUCUCUUCUAUCUCCAAAACAAAAGGAUAUCUCUCCCAGGAGCUCUAAACCCCUCUUUUUCGCUCUUUUUCUAUACGAUCUUCUCUCUCUCCCAGGCCAGGUGCGUGCCGAUUAAAUGCUCUGGAUGAAUAAACAAAUG
rnacentral:lncRNA from 1 species